GGCUGAGUGGUCGAAAGCGGCGGUCUUGAAAACCGUUGAGGGGUGACCCUCCGUAGGUUCGAAUCCUACGCCCACCGCCA
rnacentral:tRNA from 1 species